rnacentral:rRNA from 1 species
UACGGGGGGGAGCAAGCGUUGUUCGGAUUUACUGGGCGUAAAGGGCGCGUAGGCGGCCAGCACAAGUCAGUUGUGAAAUCUCCGAGCUUAACUCGGAAAGGUCAACUGAUACUGUGCGGCUAGAGUGCGGAAGGGGCAACUGGAAUUCUUGGUGUAGCGGUGAAAUGCGUAGAUAUCAAGAGGAACACCUGCGGCGAAGGCGGGUUGCUGGGCCGACACUGACGCUGAGGCGCGAAAGCGUGGGGAGCAAACAGG